GUCUCAGUAGCUCAAUUGGAUAGAGCAUCCCCCUCCUAAGGGGAAGGUUGCAGGUUCGAACCCCGCCUGGGACACCA
rnacentral:tRNA from 184 species